rnacentral:snRNA from 1 species
AGUGGUACCGCUGCUUCGACUUUUACUAAGCAGCGCCACCAAACUGCUAUCAAAUUUUGAGGCCUACCUAGG